AGAUCUCGGCGCGCCCCUGAGGAGUUUCUGUGGGAAGAUUUUCUGUUUUCCAGGUUUCCCAAGGGAAACGAAGAAAGGGAGGAGGAUAAUCAAUGACUGAACCUCUAAUAGAUGUUGGACGACGUUAAAAAAAAAAUGUAUCGGCCCUACCCUCGAGGAUUUGACAAAUUAGACUGACCAGAGUAAUAAGAGAUACAGGCAGAAGAGGAGACAUAGACACACACAGAGGAGAAGAUGAUGUGAAAAGGGAGGCAGAGAUCACAGUGGUGUGGCUACAAGCCAAGAAAUACCGAAGCCAUCAGAAGUUGGAAGAGGUAACUUACUUG
rnacentral:lncRNA from 1 species